GGCCCGUUAGGGUAGCGGUCAUCCCGCCGCGUUCUCAGCGCGGAGAUCGCCGGUUCGAAUCCGGCACGGGCUA
rnacentral:tRNA from 1 species